rnacentral:rRNA from 1 species
UACGUAGGGGGCUAGCGUUGUCCGGAAUCAUUGGGCGUAAAGAGCGCGUAGGCGGCCAGAUAAGUCCGGUGUGAAAGUCACAGGCUCAACCUGUGAAUGCCGCUGGAAACUGUCUGGCUAGAGUCCGGGAGGGGCGAGUGGAAUUCCUGGUGUAGCGGUGAAAUUCGUAGAUAUUAGGAAGAACACCAGUGGCGAAGGCGGCUCACUGGCCCGGUACUGACGCUGAGGCGCGAAAGCGUGGGGAGCAAACAGG